UACAGAGGGGGCAAGCGUUGUUCGGAAUUACUGGGCGUAAAGGGCGCGUAGGCGCCUCCUAAGUCAGACGUGAAAUCCCUCGGCUCAACCGGGGAACGUGCGUCUGAUACUGGGAGGCUUGAAUCCGGGAGAGGGAUGUGGAAUUCCAGGUGUAGCGGUGAAAUGCGUAGAUAUCUGGAGGAACACCGGUGGCGAAGGCGGCAUCCUGGACCGGUUCUGACGCUGAGGCGCGAAAGCGUGGGGAGCAACAGG
rnacentral:rRNA from 1 species